UAUACUAACACAUAAACGCUCUAAUUUCUCUGCCUCCAUUCUACUCCCUCACUGACCCACGACUUCACGACUUGGUGGUGCCCUUGGUGUGGCGCAGGGAGGAUCACGGCGGCGGUGGUCGAUUGGUGGCAUAUUGAAGAUCUGAACAGUGGUGGUUGUUGAGUGGGGCUACUGUAACUUUUAGGGGAGAAGAAAGAAGGGGUCGUGUUCGGAUGUAUGGCUUAGGACCUAUAUCGACUAGUCUUUAGAGGCCAUUUCCUAGUAAAGCGGAGCUAAUAAGGAGGACCUCACAAGUUGAGGAGGAGACUUGUGUUGCUUGUACAGAAAUGAAGGAGAUGGUGGAGAAGAAGCGUGCUGAAUACGAUGAAAAAUAUGAAGCUUUGAAUGCAAAAAUGACUAUAAUUUUACGUCAUAUGGAACAUUAAAAUUCUAAUGUACAGGUACCUGGUUCCUCAAGUACACUUGGUGAUUAAAUUUAUUUUUGGUCAUGAAACUUCAUCCACGGUAAGCACAAUAGAUUUUAAUUAUCAUGUUAUUUUAACCAUACAUGGUAAUUGUCUCAAUUAUUUUUCCUUUGCUUGAUGGCUUUUAUUCAAAAUGUAUGUAGAGCAAUUUGUAGCAAGACGAGAGAUGAAAUUGAAGCAUUAAUUGUCAAGACACUCACAUAGCCUUACUCUAUUUCUCAAUGAAAUGUUGAUUUUUUACUUUGAAUGAUUUCCUUUUGAAGCUUUAGUAGAUUUGGUGUUUCCUUUUGAAGCAUUAUUAGCGCUUAACAUUUUGAAACAAAACUUAUAUGUUAUGGGAUGUUAUUGAAUUUUAAUACAACUUUUUUCUAUGUUACAUCUCAAAUUUAAGUUGUUGGAUGUGUUGUGAUUGGUAAAUUAUCUUUGAUUUCAUUGAACAUGGAACAAAAUAAAAUAUUUGCUAACAUGUAAACU